AGGGCCUACGGGGCGCAGCAGUAGGGAAUCUUCCACAAUGGACGAAAGUCUGAUGGAGCAACGCCGCGUGAGUGAAGAAGGGUUUCGGCUCGUAAAGCUCUGUUGGUAGUGAAGAAAGAUAGAGGUAGUAACUGGCCUUUAUUUGACGGUAAUUACUUAGAAAGUCAUGGCUAACUACGUGCCAGCAGCCGCGGUAAUACGUAGGUGGCAAGCGUUGUCCGGAUUUAUUGGGCGUAAAGCGAGUGCAGGCGGUUCAAUAAGUCUGAUGUGAAAGCCUUUGGGUCAACC
rnacentral:rRNA from 1 species